ACAUGCCUUGAGGUGGGGGACAACAGUUGGAAACGACUGCUAAUACCGCAUAAUGUCUACGGACCAAAGGGGGCUUCGGCUCUCGCCUUUAGAUUGGCCCAAGUGGGAUUAGCUAGUUGGUGAGGUAAUGGCUCACCAAGGCGACGAUCCCUAGCUGGUUUGAGAGGAUGAUCAGCCACACUGGGACUGAGACACGGCCCAGACUCCUACGGGAGGCAGCAGUGGGGAAUAUUGCACAAUGGGCGAAAGCCUGAUGCAGCCAUGCCGCGUGUGUGAAGAAGGCCUUCGGGUUGUAAAGCACUUUCAGUCGUGAGGAAAGGUGUUCGUUCAAUAAACGGAUACUGUGACGUUAGCGACAGAAGAAGGACCGGCUAACUCCGUGCCAGCAGCCGCGGUAAUACGGAGGGUCCGAGCGUUAAUCGGAAUUACUGGGCGUAAAGCGUGCGUAGGCGGUUGAUUAAGUCAGAUGUGAAAUCCCGGGGCUCAACCUCGGAACUGCAUUUGAAACUGGUCAACUAGAGUAUUGUAGAGGGUGGUGGAAUUUCCAGUGUAGCGGUGAAAUGCGUAGAGAUUGGAAGGAACAUCAGUGGCGAAGGCGGCCACCUGGACAAAUACUGACGCUGAGGCACGAAAGCGUGGGGAGCGAACAG
rnacentral:rRNA from 1 species